rnacentral:misc_RNA from 1 species
CAAGAAAAAUGCAUCCAGAACACUGCUGCUCUCAUUAUCGCCGGAACCAGGACUGCCGGGUCUGGUGCUGCUAUUACAUCGGACGCUGAUUCCAUGGGGCUGUCUCGUUGGAGUUCCAGAGGGAAAACCCAAUUGUUUCUUGAGCUUUGUGUCCGGUAAAGACGAGGUAUUGGGAUCAAGCGGGUAAAGUCCAUAGCUAAAAGUAGGACUGUGGUUCUUGGAUUGAAGAGAAGAGAAGCGGAAGAGUGGGGAAGCCAAAACCCCACUCAUGCUGGCAGCGGAAGCGUACUUCUGUUUGUCUUGCUGCGCUGUUUUCCUCUUGGACCUGUCUUUG